GAGCCAAAAUGGCUACGGACGCCCGCUACGUAAC
rnacentral:ribozyme from 1 species